rnacentral:rRNA from 1 species
UACGUAGGUGGCAAGCGUUGUCCGGAUUUAUUGGGCGUAAACGCGCGCAGGUGGUUUCUUAAGUCUGAUGUGAAAGCCCACGGCUCAACCGUGGAGGGUCAUUGGAAACUGGGAGACUUGAGUGCAGAAGAGGAUAGUGGAAUUCCAAGUGUAGCGGUGAAAUGCGUAGAGAUUUGGAGGAACACCAGUGGCGAAGGCGACUGUCUGGUCUGUAACUGACACUGAGGCGCGAAAAGCGUGGGGGAGCAAAACAGGAUUAGAUACCCCCCGUAGUCC